rfam:Ixodes scapularis strain Wikel colony gcontig_1108379734578, whole genome shotgun sequence.
UCCUGGUUAGCUCAGUUGGUAGAGCGCUCCACUGGAAAUGUUCAGGCCCCUGGUUCGAUACCAGGACCAGGCG